AAAAGUAAUUUCUUUGAAUUGUGUUUAUUUUUUCUAGAAUAUAAUGAAAGACUUUUUUUUAAACUUCAACUUGUUCCAAAGAUUAAUAUUGGGUCAUGAAAUUUGUCCUAUUUAAUAAAAAUAUUUAUGCAUGGUGUGCUAAACCAGUGAGCAUGUGUCCGUUGAACCUCUGUUAGACCUCUUACGGAUGUCCAGACAUCCAUUAAAUUUUUUCCUAACUUUGAGAAUUGUUUAAUGCUUUUGUUUGCACAUAUUUUUUUAGGUGUUUUUAAAAAAUACUUACAUUGAUUUUUUUAAGGACUUUGUUGAUUAUAUAGAAAAUAAAGUCAUGAAGCUGAAUGAUAAAGUGUAAUGACAAAGAGUAUUGAUGAAGCUGAAUGAUUAAGUGUAAUGACAAAGAGUAUUGAUGAAGCUGAAUGAUAAAGUGUAAUGACAAAGAGUAUUUAUGAAGCUAAUGAUAAAGUGUAAUGGCAAAGAGUAUCAAUGAAGCUGAAUGAUUAAGUGUAAUGACAAAGAGUAUUGAUGAAGCUGAAUGAUUAAGUGUAAUGACAAAGAGUAUUGAUGAAGCUGAAUGAUUAAGUGUAAUGACAAAGAGUAUUGAUGAAGCUGAAUGAUUAAGUGUAAUGACAAAGAGUAUUUAUUAAGCUAAUGAUAAAGUGUAAUGGCUAAUGAUAAAGUGUAAUGGCAAAGAGUAUCGAUAAAGUUCCUACCAAAAAUAAUGGAAUGAAAAAACCCUAAUUGAAAGCAAAUUAAAAACUUACAUUUCACUCCGCAAUUUGUUAUGUGCAUGCUAUUGUUUCAUUGCUUUUUUUUGGGUGUUUGCUGGAAACAGGCAAACAGAUGUCAGUACCCAAGAGAUAAAUUUCAAGUUGAUAAAAUAACAAUGUAUUCAAAAAAACACUUUUCGAUCUGGGCAAAAUUUAUAGUAGACAGAGCAAGACUUUUUUAUAUCAACAAAAUGAAAAC